rnacentral:rRNA from 1 species
UCCUGUUGAUCCUGCAGGAGAUUGCUGCUAUCAGGGUUCGACUAAGCCAUGCAAGUCAAGGGGUUCUUCGGAACACCGGCAAAAUGCUCAGUAACACGUUGAUAACCUACCCUUAAGUCUGGGAUACCCUUGGGAAACUGAGGCUAAGACCGGAUAGGAGGCCAGUUCUGGAAAGAAAUGUCUCUUAAAGGCAACGCUUAAGGAUGGGUCAGCGGCCGAUUAGGUUGUUGGUGGGGUAACGGCCCACCAAGCCUACGAUCGGUAGGGGCCUUGAAAGAGGGAGCCCCGAGAAGGGAACUGAGAUACGGUCCCUAGCCCUACGGGGUGCAGCAGGCGCGAAACCUCUACAAUGCACGAAAGUGUGAUAGGGGGACCCUGAGUGCUCAGCUAUGCUGGGCUUUUGCCAAGAGUAAAAAUCUUGGCGAAUAAGUGGUGGGUAAGACGGGUGCCAGCCGCCGCGGUAACACCCGCGCCGCAAGUGGCAAUCGUUGUUAUUGGGCCUAAAGCGUCCGUAGCAGGUCUUGUAAAUCUUUUGUGAAAUUGUUGCGCUCAACGCAACAGCGUGCAAGAGACACUGCAAGACUUGGGACCGGGAGGAGUCAGAGGUAUUUCAUGGGGAGCGGUAAAAUGCUAUAAUCCAUGAAGGACCACCUAUGGCGAAGGCAUCUGACCAGAACGGAUCCGACUGUGAGGGACGAAAGCUAGGGGAGCGAACCGGAUUAGAUACCCGAGUAGUCCUAGCUGUAAACUCUGCGAGCUAGGUGUUGCGCAAUCUACGGGAUUGCGCAGUAUCGAAGCGAAGGCGUUAAGCUCGCCGCCUGGGAAGUACGGUCGCAAGGCUGAAACUUAAAGGAAUUGGCGGGGGAGCACUACAAGGGGUGCGGCGUGCGGUUUAAUCUAACUCCACUCAGAGAAUCUCACCAGAAGCGACGGCAGAAUGAAAGUCAGAUUGAAGGUUUUACUUGACGAGCCGAGAGGUGGUGCAUGGCCGCCGUCAGCUCGUGCCGUGAGGUGUCCAGCUAAGCCUGGUAACGAGCGAGACCUGCGUCUACAAUUGCUAGCAGAUGCUUUUGCAUGACUGAGCAUAUUGUAGGGACUGCCCCGGAAACGGGGAGGAAGGUGCAGGCUACGGUAGGUCUGUAUGCCCCGAAUCUUCUGGGCUACACGCGCGCAACAAUGGUAAGGACAAUGGGCUACGACUCCGAAAGGAGAAGUUAAUCCUCGAAACCUUAUCCAAGUCCAGAUUGAGGGUUGUAACCCACCCUCAUGACGAUGGAAUCCCUAGUAAUCGGGUGUUAUCAGCGCCCGGUGAAUACGUCCCUGCUCCUUGCACACACCGCCCGUCAAACCACUCGAGCAGGGUUUAGAUGAGGUGCAGUUUUUUGAUUGUAUCGAAUCUAAGCUCAGUGAGAAGGGUUAAGUCGUCACAAGGUA